rnacentral:rRNA from 1 species
GUAAUGCCGGGUCGGAUGCGUAUGUAAGUCGUAGGUUGCGAGGUGUGGCCGGAAGUAAUGGGCUGUAAGAGGUCGUGGGUGGGUUGUCGGUUCGUCUGUGAAAUUCCUGUGCGUAAAGCCGGUGGUUCAGGCGAUACGGGCAUAACUUGAGUACUGGAGGGGAGACUGGAAUUCCUGGUGUAGCGGUGAAAUGCGCAGAUAUCAGGAGGAACACCGGUGGCGAAGGCAGGUCUCUGGGCAGUAACUGACGCUGAGGAGCGAAAGCAUGGGGAGCGAACAGGAUUAGAUACCCUAGUAGUC